UGUCUCUCACAGAUCCAUGCUGCGGCUUAAGGGUGUCGGGAAGCUUCAGGAGGCCUCUUGGUCUUAACAAUCGUAGGCUUUGUUAAGUUUCUGGUGCUAGCCUGGCAGUGAUGUCUUUCGGUUCUUAGAGGGUCUUGGUAUGCUGUAACGACGAAAAGCAAUUUAUGGCUGGGCUCCCAAGGGCAGCAGAGGCUGCCAGUGCUGAAGCGUCGUAUCAAUGUCUGAGCAUUGUGUUUGGGAGAUGCUGUGCGUUCUUUACCAGCACUUGAGCGUGACGAGUCUCAUUUUUGAGGUGCUCGUCCAGAGAAUGCUUUCGGUGUUAAAUGAGAACGCUAGAACUAUGACGAGAUGGAUCUUACCAACCUGGAGUUUUUGGUGGCUCCGUGGUCAAAUGUUCCUCCUCACACUUCUGUUGUGCAUGUGUGUCUUAUCGUGUGCUUAUCUUUAAUGAUUCACACUUCGGCUUUAUGAUGACUCAUCGCAGACGGGCGGACUGAAAUGAUGCCAUGUUGAUUGUCUGUACUUGACCACUUUUGGUCGCUGAAAGCCAAGUAGGUAUGAUUUUCCUGUGAUGUCUGCAGAUGAUGGUAUUAAUCUUGAUGUCAAAUAUGAUGCGUUCUUUCUGAAUUUGAGUUCUUGCUGCACGGCAAGUUUCCUUCCUGCCACCCUUUGCUAGUCGCUCCUCAAUGACAUAGACAUGAGAGUUAAAUGUGAAUUGUCGAGUCAUAAUCGGAGAUUGGAUAUCCCUGAAGUUAUAUUAUACAUAUUGCAGUGCUAAAAAUUAGUGGUCUUACUGCAUCGCAAUAGCAGACUUGGUUAACCUAGGAAGGCUUCUGGUAUCUGGUGCUGAAUGAGCGAUACUUGUGCUUGUAAUGACGCAGCUCCUCGUAAAGGUAGUCGAUAUUUAGUGCUUCAGGCGCGAUGUGUGUUGGGCUGUCCCUUCACCAUUUUGUCCUGUACAUAUUUGUUACCCUGUCCCGAGUGAGGUCCUUUUUUAUGUACUCAUGUCGUAAUUAGCAGUUUGGAUAGUCUGUUGUCACAAGUUUCCCUGUCUAGAUAAUAUCACCGGCCUGUAUGGGAUUUUACAUGCAUUUCGACCCAACAAAAUUUAUCAUCCUAAUUACUUAUGUCAGCACAAGUGUCCGCAACCUCUUUGCCACCACAACCUCAAACCUCCAAACUAGAUGCCCACUGAAUUGUCAUAUUGUUUCUCAUAUGACAACACCAAUCAUAUUACAACCCCAAUUUAGUACUUAUCAAGAAUAAAAUGUACUUGAAAAGUCCUUACAUGCUUUUUACAAAUAAAGGCAAUUUGAGUAUAUAUCAUCGGUUGGUAGAUUAUUUCUUUGCUGAAGAACUGAAGAGUUCAUCAUACCGUAUUCAACAUUCUUAAUAGGUCAUUCUACCCUGAUAUAUAUUUUUAUUAAUUCCAAGCAAUACUUAGAAAACACAUCAUUCUUUCUUUGUAUUUUUCAGUUGGUCUUUCAAGGUUUGUUACAAUUUGUAAAAAACUAUUCUUUUUAGUAAAGUCCUCCAAACUUAUCAUUUCA